GCGGGACCAGAGCCUGCGCGCAGAAUCUGAGGCCCGAGACUUCCUCGCACCAGCUGGACGUCGAGCCCCGCGAGAUGAGAAAAUUGAGGCCCCCCCAGGAGCCCACAGUCUUACGGCCAGAAGCAGCAGAAUCGGGAAUCAAACCCAGACCUCUGUAAAUUAUCUUCCUAAUAAUUGGGAGAAGACCCUUGGCUGAAUGGCAGCUGUAGAUGACUUGCAGUUUGAAGAAUUUGGUGAUACAGCCACUUCUCUAGCAGCAAACCCAGAUGCCACCACAAUAAGCAUCGAGGAUCCUGGUGAAACCCCAAAACACCAGCCAGGACCCCCAGGAGGCUCAGGGAGAGAAGAGGAUGAUGAGUUACUAGGAAAUGAUGACUCUGAUAAAACUGAGUUACUUGCUGGACAGAAGAAAAGCUCCCCCUUCUGGACAUUUGAAUACUAUCAAACAUUCUUUGAUGUAGACACUUACCAGGUCUUUGACAGAAUAAAGGGGUCUCUUUUGCCAAUACCAGGAAAAAACUUUGUGAGGUUGUAUAUCCGCAGCAACCCAGAUCUCUAUGGCCCCUUUUGGAUAUGUGCCACGUUGGUCUUUGCCAUAGCAAUUAGUGGGAAUCUUUCCAACUUCUUAAUCCAUCUGGGAAGGAAGACAUACCAUUAUGUGCCCGAAUUCCGAAAAGUGUCCAUCGCAGCCACAAUCAUCUAUGCCUAUGCCUGGCUGGUUCCUCUUGCACUCUGGGGUUUCCUUGUGUGGAGAAACAGUAAAGUUAUGAACAUCGUUUCCUAUUCAUUCUUGGAGAUUGUGUGCGUCUAUGGAUAUUCACUCUUCAUUUAUAUCCCCACAGCGAUACUGUGGAUCAUCCCCCAGAAAGUGGUCCGCUGGAUUCUAGUUAUGAUUGCCCUGGGCAUCUCAGGCUCUGUCUUGGCAAUGACAUUUUGGCCAGCAGUUCGUGAGGACAACCGACGCAUCGCAUUGGCCACAAUUGUGACGAUUGUGUUGCUUCACAUGCUGCUUUCUGUGGGCUGCCUGGCCUACUUUUUUGACGCACCAGAGAUGGACCAUCUCCCAACAAGCACAGCUGCUCCAAACCAAACAGCUGCAGCAGCCAAGUCCAGCUAAAGGGGAAAGUGAGCGAUUAUCUUUUCAUCUUCUCGCUAUGAGGUGAUGCUAGAAUCAAAGAAGGUCAGAGCCCUUGGAGAUGGGAUGUGCUUCCCUCUUCUUUGCACAAUAAGGAAGCUGAGGCCAAGAGAGGACAGUGCCCUGCCCAAGGCCAGUUCUCUUCAGUGGGUUUUGGAGUAUGGUUCUUUCGGACAUGGUAUCCACUGCAGGAAAGCAGAACGACCAAAGCGCAGGCAAACGGAUGGAAUGGCCCCAACCCCCAACAUCUGGGGGGUGCCACACUGAAGCCUAAUCACCUAUUUAACAAAAAACAAUUAAAUGUUGUUGAGUUGAGACGUGUCAUUCAGCUCUUCUCUCUCACUGUCACUUGUCAUUGUGACUGUGCACUGGUUUGGAGAGAAAUACGAGGGGAUGGGUGAGGCUGCUCAAGUGCCCUGCGUUUGCCUCUCAUGGUCACGUGGUGUGCUUCACGUUAGGUACACCCUUAAUCCCUGGAAUGGAUCCAUCCUAACUUGGGUGUCUUUUCUCUGGAUCGUGUACAGAUUACCUAGGUGAGCCUCUGCUCCCCUUGCCAUCCUAAAGUGCCCAAACAGCAUGAACUUUGGUUGGGAUUCAUUGGGAGGCUGAAAAUUUGUCUUUGGUGACCUGACUCUGGGCAACUGAACCUAAUGGUUGCAAAAUAAAUACAAAAUACAAUAAUAAUAAUAAUAACGUCUGUGUCUGCACUUCGUGACUUUGCGCUCAGGUUCUUACUUGAUGUUUUAUCUUCAGCCUGCCGGAGGUUGCUGGGAGUCUGAUUUAAUGUGCUAGCUGUUGGAGUGCGGGGGUUAAAAUGGACAUCCGAAUUUUUCUUCCUCUAAGCAUGGAACAGUGUGUUUAAAGGACAUGCUUACCUAUAACCUAUUUUGACAUACAGAUUUUAGAAAAUUCUUUUAGUGCCCUUUGAGUGCCUCUUCAAGGUGGUGUGGCUUCCUGGCUAGAGACCAUGAAAGGGAGAAACCAGUGACACCUCACAGAUACUUGUUUAUAC